GACGAACGCUGGCGGCAUGCCUAAUACAUGCAAGUCGAACGCGGCCAUCCGGUGCUUGCACUGGUGAAGCCGAGUGGCGAACGGGUGAGUAACACGUGAGAAACCUGCCCUGGAGUGGGGAAUAACUCGAAGAAAUUCGAGCUAAUACCGCAUACCUUCUCUUCACCGCAUGGUGAGUUGAAGAAAGAUUUAUCGCUCUAGGAGGGUCUCGCGGCCUAUCAGCUAGUUGGUGAGGUAAUGGCUCACCAAGGCAUCGACGGGUAGCUGGUCUGAGAGGACGAUCAGCCACACUGGGACUGAGACACGGCCCAGACUCCUACGGGAGGCAGCAGUAGGGAAUCUUGCGCAAUGGGCGAAAGCCUGACGCAGCAAUGCCGCGUGCGGGACGAAGGCCCUAGGGUCGUAAACCGCUUUCAGUAGGGACGAAAAUGACGGUACCUGCAGAAGAAGCUCCGGCCAACUACGUGCCAGCAGCCGAC
rnacentral:rRNA from 1 species